rnacentral:rRNA from 1 species
GUGUCAGCCGCCGCGGUAAUACAGAGGGUGCGAGCGUUAAUCGGACUUACUGGGCGUAAAGGGCGCGUAGGCGGAUAUAUAAGAUGAUUGUGAAAUUCCUGGGCUCGACCUGGGGGGGAGGAUCAAGACUGUAUAUCUAGAGUACAGCAGAGGGAAGCGGAAUUUCCGGAGGAGCGGUGAAAUGCGUAGAUAUCGGAAGGACCACCGGUGGCGAAGGCGGCUUUCUGGGCAAGUACUGACGCUGAGGCGCGAAAGCAUGGGUAUCGAACAGGAUUAGAGGCCCUGGUAGUCCAUGCUGUAAACGAUGAGAACUAGAUGUUGGUUGCCUAGUGUGAUUAGUAUCGAAGCUAACGCGAUAAGUUCUCCGCCUGGGGACUACGACCGCAAGGUUAAAACUCAAAGGAAUUGACGGGGGCCCGCACAAGCGGUGGAGCAUGUGGUUUAAUUCGAUGCAACGCGAAGAACCCUACCUACCCUUGACAUCUAUGUAACCCGGCCGAAGGGCUGGGGUGCCGCAAGGCAGCAUAAGACAGGUGCUGCAUGGCUGUCGUCAGCUCGUGUUGUGAAAUGUUGGGUUAAGUCCCGUAACGAGCGCAACCCCUAUCAUUAGUUGCCAUCAAGUAAAGUUGGGGACUCUAAUGAGACUGCCGCUGGUAAAGCGGAGGAAGGUGGGGAUGACGUCAAGUCAUCAUGGCCCUUAUGGGUAGGGCUACACACGUGCUACAAUGGUUGGUCCAAAAGGAAGCGAAAGCGAGAGCUGGAGCGAAUCCUCAAAAGCCGAUCUCAGUCCGGAUUGAAGUCUGCAACUCGACUUCAUGAAGUCGGAAUCGCUAGUAAUCGCGAAUCAGCAUGUCGCGGUGAAUACGUUCCCGGGCCUUGCACACACCGCCCGUC